UAGUACGGCGAGUGAAGAGGGAAAAGCCCAAAUUUGUAAUCUGGCUCUUUUAUAGGAGUCCGAGUUGUAAUUUUGAGAACUGUUUUCUGUGCUGGACCAUAUACAAGUCUGUUGGAAAACAGCAUCAUUGAGGGUGAUAAUCCCGUAGAUGAUAUGGACUACCAGUGCAAUAUGAUACAGUCUCUAAGAGUCGAGUUGUUUGGGAAUGCAGCUCAAAGUGGGUGGUAAAUUCCAUCUAAGGCUAAAUAUAGGUGAGAGACCGAUAGCAAACAAGUACCGUGAGGGAAAGAUGAAAAGAACUUUGGAAAGAGAGUUAACAGUACGUGAAAUUGUUAAAAGGGAAACAUUUGAAGUUAGACUUGUUAUUAUUGGUUCAGCUCCUCUUUUUUAAUUAGGAGUUUAUUCCAAUGGUUGACAGACCAGCAUCAAUUUUUGAGUGUUAGAUAAGGGUCUUGGAGAAUGUGGCAACUUUGGUUGUGUUAUAGCUCCUGGCUUGAUAUAAUGCUUAAGAUUGAGGAACGCAGUGAGCUUU
rnacentral:rRNA from 1 species